rnacentral:lncRNA from 1 species
CCAGGUUGAGUCCUUUUCAACUAGUUUUUGUGUUGUUUUUUGAAACCUCAAGUCACUGACUCCUUCAGCAGUGGUUUAAGGAAGUAUCUUAAUUUUUAAAUCACAUGUUGACCAUGCAGCCAAUUGUUGGCCCGUAGAGUGAACAAAACCAGACCACAAGAUUGAGGGCUUGGAGCUGGAGAAAGGGAAAAGAAAAAGCAGACUGUGACUCUCUGGGGAAAGAACUGAAAGAUGACACUAGGAAUUCUCAAAGCGAGAGGAAAAGGAAAGGCCCUUUUUCGGAAAUGACCUCUGAUAAACACACCCUCCAGGGUUACACCUGCCACUGUGUCUUCCACGGACAGACAAGCUGCACUUUAGCAGUCCUGAAUACCUAGAGACUUCCUUAACAGAGAGUGGGGAAUCUCGUCAUCUUGCAUGGGGAUGGGAGCUCGAAGGGAGAACCUCAGCCUUCCAGAAGGUUAUAUAAAACCAGUUGAGAAUUUCCCUAAGAAUGGAGCAGUGGACAAACAAUUGUUAUUGUAAUCCAAAUACAUGAGUCUACCUACAUAAUGGAGAAAUGCUAACUUACAGAAAGGUCAGGUUGGUGUUUGAAUGGUUUUAAUUUCCUUUUAUAAAAUUACAGGAAUUAUACAAUUACAUUGAUUAAUUGUAAUCAGUUUUGAGUCUAGCUAAAAAAAAAAAAAAAAUCCGUUCCUUCUCAAAUUCUUUCCUCCUGCAUUUUAAAUCUCUCUCUCUCUCUCUUUUUUUCUGAGACAGGGUCUCACUUUAUUACCCAGGCUGGAGUGCAGUGGCACGAUCUUGGAUUACUGCAACCUCUGCCUCCUGGGCUCAACUGAUCCUCAUGCCUCAGCCUCCCAAGUAGCUGAGAGUACAGGCGCAAGCUACCGGGCUUGGCUAAUUUUUGUAUUUUUUGUGAAGAUGGGAUUUCACCAUGUUUCUCAGGCUGGUAUUGAACUCUUGAGCUCAGGCAAUCCACCUGCCUCAGCCCUUCCAAAUUGCUAGGAUUACAAAUGUGAACCACUGCACCUGACCUAAAUAUCUCUCUUAAAUGAAUCAUUUCCCUCUAUCCCUUAACAAAAAAUAACUUUUUAAAAAUCUUGAAAAUUACUUCCUCUUGACAAAACCUCCUCAAUCUCAUACACCAGCUUCCAUGUCUCUCAUAACUUAUUUGUACCCUGAGCAACUAGUAUACCACUCCUAGUUUUAUAUUUUCACUAUUCUCUCAUCUAUCUUUCUAUCAUAAUAUAUUUGUAUAGUAAAUAAGUAUAGUAUAUUUGGAAAAUCGCAUUUCCCAAAAUAACCAAUAACUUACUUGUACAGGUCUCUUUCAAUCAUUAUUUUCUUUGACUUGUCUGAAGUAUGUAACAUCAAUUCUGAUAUGGUUUGGCUCUGUCUUCUACCCAAAUCUCAUUUUGAAUUGUAAUCCCCAGAAUCUCCAGGUAUUGAGGGAGGGACCUGGUGGGAGGUGAUUGGAUCAUGGGGGAAGUUUCCCCUCAUGCUGUUUUUGUGAUAGUGAGUUCUCAUGAUAUCUGAUGGGUUUAAAAGUGUUUGACAGUUCCUCCUACACACACACACACACUCUCUCUCUCUCUCUAGCCUGCCACUAUGUAAGAAGUGUCUGCUUCCCCUUCCACCAUGAUUGUAGGUUGCCUGAGGCCUCCCCAGCCAUGUGGAACUGUGAGUCAGUUAAACCUCUUUCCUUGAUAAAUUACCCAGUCUCAGGAAUUUCUUUACAGCAGUGCGAAAAUGGACUAAUACAAAUCCCCUUGUUUAUUUCCUUGAAAUUAUCCUCCUUUCGUUUCUAUAGUAUUAUAAUUAUGCUAAUGUUUCUUCUUCCUUUAUAAGUUCUUUCUGAUAUCUUAGAGGUCAUCUCAGACCUCAAGAAACUUCCAGUCUAAUGUAAAGACUGACAUUUUGCAUUUUGGGCCAGCCACUCUCUGCACAAACCUCUUCUUCCAAGCGAUUUUUCCUGUAAACAUUUGCUGUACCCGAUUAUGUGUAAAGCACAUAAUGUACCAUAUGAACAUGGAUGGGGAGAGGUAAUUUGAAUGAAAGAGAUAGGGAGGUUUUGUACAAGAGGUGAUACUUGGGAUGGACAUCCAAGGAUGGAAAACUUCAACAGUAAGAAUUGGAGAAAAGGUAUUCCACAUUGAAGUGACUACUUGAGCAGUGACACUAAAGUAAGAAAAAAAUAUUGCAUAUUCUGGAUAGUUCUGGUAAAAUAUGAAGGGGGAUGAAAUAAAAGAUUUGACUAUAGUACAUUGUGAGGUUUGGGGAGCAUGUAGAUCAUGGGUGAAUGCUUUGAUGCCUGGACAUUUUUAUGUAGGUGAGAAGGGGCCAUCAACAAUUUACGGACAGAGGAGUCUCACUAUUAAAGCUAUAUUUUAGAAACAGAACACAAGUGUAACUGUGGAGAAUAUAUUAGUGAGGAGGAGAUUUUAGUGGUGGGGUAUCUGUUUUUUUAUGUAUAUCAUUCAGCAUCAAUUAUACAUUAUUCUGUUGUAUUACUUAUUUAUCUUUUCUAUUGCUAAAUAUUUACUUAGGUGUUAACUUCCAAGAUAUUAAGCUCUAAGGCAGGGCAAUCUUGUUUUCCUUUCAAGUAUACUAUUUCAUACACAGAAGUUAUCACUCUGACUCAAACAUUAUCAUUAUUGUUAUUAUAUUAACUAACAUGUAUGGAAAACUUACCAUGUGCCAGGCACUGUGUAAAGUCAGUUACACGCAUUAUGUGGUUGAAUCCUUAAUAUGAUUGUUCCCAUUUUACACUUGUAUAAACAGAGACUUAGAGGACUUAGUCAUUUUCUGUAAGUCAUAUUGUUGUUAAGCAGUGGAGCCAGGAUUCAAAGCAAGUUUUUUGUGACACCAAAGAUACUGACAACAGUGUCAAAUAGACUCUCCAUAGUGGUCAAUCAAUGAAUACUUUUGAAUGGUUGGAUAAAUAAAAAAUAGUGGAUAAAAGAGUAAAGCCUUUUCAACUUGAGUUGACUCAUAUAGGCAAAUGAAACUUAUCCACUCAUAUUGGGAUGAUACCCUGUGUUUGAAUUGUACAUAUAUGUUUAUCCAGAAAAGAAAGGUAAUAAUACCUUUUAAGAUAAGAAAGGUAAUAAUAAUGGUAUAGGGCAUUAUUUUUUUAAGAUAAGAAAGGUAAUAAUAAUGGUAUAGGGCAUUAUUUAGAUAAAUAAAUGAACAUCCUGUGUGUCCUCAGGAUUUAACAUUCUUUUGUUGGUGUCAUUCAUAAACUAUAGCAAUUUUUUGGAGGACUUUCUUCAACCUACUGAAGCCUUUGACUGAACACAUGGGAAUUUCCAUCCUCCUGGUGUGACCCUUAGCCCAUGACUAUGUGGGAAUUUGAAAGCCCAACUCUCUUGACACAAAUUAGUACAACUCUGAGAUGUAACUUACUCUCCAGAGCUCCCCUCUGGGAUUAGGCUGAGGUUAUCCUGUGUGGGAAAGGCUUGAGGUCACACUCUUAUCUGGCUUCCUCGCCUUCACUUUCCUGCUUACUUCACCCUUUUAUUAGGAUCACUAAUAAGCAUUUACUUGAUAAAUCACUGGCCUAUGAACCUUCAUCUCAGGGUCUACUUCUGGGAAAACUGACCUAGAAAAAAAUUAUACACCAAGGCCUAAUGGGUGAGCUCAUUAUUUCCUCUUAAAUAAACAUUAGUUUUUUUCAAUAUUCAACAUGGCAUGUGCACCUUCCUACUUUGUUUUGGGUGAAAAAAAAAUCAGCAACCAACAUUACAUGCCCUCUGUUAUUAUAUAAGCUUUCAUGAGUUAUUAUUUAACCUGUAAUACUUUUUGUAGCAAGCCAUACAGAAAAAUUUUCUGGGUGUAUUCAUAUAUAAAAGUACACCAUAUAUAUUUAUUAUGUAAAAACUAAAAAUUGCUUUAAAAAUUCCACUAGCGAAUUUCUGGGAGUUUGAAAUACUGUUCUUAAGUCGUAUUCUAAAUAUAGUAAAUGUGUUUUUGUCAUGCGAGUACUUUCUGAAUUCAUAUGGUUCAGAUAAUUCUAUUUCUCCCAAUAUUAUGGGCAAAACAUUGAUAUGUUUUCUUCCUUUAUUUCCCAAACUGAGCAUUUUCUUUCCUCCAACAGGACUGUAGACCAGCAAAUCAUUCCAAAUUUAGCACAGGGAAACAUCUCAUGUUUAAAUCAUAAGUGUUUUUAUGGGUUUUGAGCCUUUUGCCAACUUCAUCCUCCACUUUGUUUCAGAUAACAUUCUGAAUGACGGCAGUUAUUUCUGUAUUGAGACUGGUGAUGAUGAGAAGUUCUCACAACUGGCUAGGCCUUGAUUAAAUACAUCUUGUAUUCUUUAAAUAGAAAUCAAUGGUCCUCAGGUCUUGAAAACUAGUUGGCCCCCUUUGCUUCCACCCACUUUCCUUAGAUUUUAAGCAAUUAAUGUGACCCCAUCAGCAUCCUAAUCCUACUCAUGUGACUGAGUACCACUCACAUGGAAUGGAGCUACCAAACCUAGAAAUUCUCCUUAAACUUAUAGAAGAAACAGACAUGAGGAGAGAUUUUAGUUUAAGAGAAGAUAUAUGUUCAUUCUUAGUCCUUUUCCAAUACAAAAUACUAGCUACUUCCUGUGUCUUGGAAGCUACAUAUAAAAUCCUGAUAAAGGUAUGUCCUAAAGCUUUGCAGUAGAGUAGAUGGUCUUUUCUUAGGUUGUUAUGCAAAAUUAUGAACCAUUGUUUCGGACUGAGCCUCUGCACUAGGCCCCAAUAGACCAGACCAAGCUAAAUUGGAGUCACUCAUGCUAAAUGUCACAUCAUCAAAUUGAAACUUUAAGGAAGUACAUAGAUUCCUAAACAGACUGUUUGAUUUUUCCUGAAAACAGAUUCCAGUCUAGCUGAGCCAGCAUAAAAAGGAAGUCCCCUCUGCAUUAACCCUUAUAAAAAAAAAGGAACUUGAAGUAACCUGAUGUUAACCAAUCAGUUUUUUCUAUUGUUGUUUUCUUGUUCCCACCUUAUAAAUCCCACUGUUCUGACAUUUCCCAGUGGGAUCCCUUAUUCUGUUUUGUAGAAUGGAGGGUGCUGUGAUUCAUGCAUCACAAAUAAAGUUAAUUAGUUCUGAAACUAAAUAUAUUGUAACUUUGUCUUUUGACAAGGGGUUAGUUGAUAUCCCCUCAUGGGAGGGCAGG